rnacentral:rRNA from 1 species
CACGUAGGGCGCAAGCGUUGUCCGGAAUUAUUGGGCGUAAAGAGCUCGUAGGCGGUCUGUUGCGUCCGCUGUGAAAACUCGGGGCUUAACCCCCGAGCCUGCAGUGGAUACGGGCAGACUAGAGGACCGGAGAGGAUAGUGGAAUUCCCAGUGUAGUGGUGAAAUACGUAGAGAUUGGGAAGAACACCAGUGGCGAAGGCGGCUAUCUGGACGGUUACUGACGCUAAGACUCGAAAGCGUGGGGAGCAAACAGG